CUGCCAGAAUUCAUAUGCUUGUCCCGAAGACUCAAGCCAUGCAUGCCAACGAAAAAUUGGCCUGCGAUCGUGGGUUUACUCCCGUGGUUGUGGGCUCAAGGAAUCAGCGAACGGCUCCGCAUAUCUGUUGUCACCUAUCGUGGUACAUUUGGCGUGGAUAUAGCACGGAAAAGCUGUGUGUAACACAGAUAAUUACGGGGCACCUCCUAGACCGCCUGGCCGGGGUCAUGUUGCUGGGAAAUAAGCGGGUGAUUAAAGCCCACCCCGCCUCUUGAACAAUAUCGAUCACCCAAAGUACACCCCUCCUAGUUAUACUUGGGGAGGGGGCGAGAACCGGGGGCUUCUGUGCUUUUCAUUGCUGCAGACCAAGUUGCUGCCUGUUGCGGCUUCUUGGGUUGUGUGGUAUAUGGGAAGCGCCAGAGACUAACCACAAGCGCACGAUGGGCUUCAGACCUAUCAGCUGGAUGGUAGGGUAUUGGCCUACCAUGGCUAUGACGGGUACAGAGGAUUAGGGUUUGAUCCUGGAGAGGUAGCCUGAGAAAUCGCUCCCACUUCUAAGGAAGGCAGCAGGCGCGUAACGUUCCCAAUGCUAUUAACUUAGUGAGGACGUAAUGGGACAUAACAAUACCCCUAGUGAAUAGUGGGCAAUUGAUAAUGGAGUGACUAUCA
rnacentral:rRNA from 1 species